UGGGCAACCUACCCUUGACUCUGGGAUAACUCCGGGAAACCGGAGCUAAUACCGGAUAUGAACACGAAGGACAUCCUUUGUGUUUGGAAAGUUUUUCGGUCAGGGAUGGGCCCGCGGCCUAUCAGCUUGUUGGUGGGGUAAUGGCCCACCAAGGCGACGACGGGUAGCCGGCCUGAGAGGGCGACCGGCCACACUGGGACUGAGACACGGCCCAGACUCCUACGGGAGGCA
rnacentral:rRNA from 1 species